UAUUUAUGGAUGUGUGUUGGAAUGAUAAACCCUAGCAGCCAUAUGCAACAACAUCCAAGCAACAACACGGCACAACUUUCUACCACACUAACCUUUCAACUUCUCACGUCUCUCUUUUUCUUCUCCCUCUUUCUGUUUUUCCUCAUUCACUCUCUUCAUCCCUCCAGAUUUCGUUUUCCUCCAUCAUUUUCCUUUUUUCACAGAUUUUGUUGUUCAGACUGUUUCCUCCAUAGAAGAAAUGAUAUGCUUGAAAAGAAGGGUCUCAAAUCCCCAUUUUAUUUAAUGAUUGGAACCACUAUUAAUCUAUUUGUGAGAACAGGAAGAUGAAGAAGGAAGAGUAUGAUGUUUGAGAAAGCGUGUCUGAUGGGAAGGAAAAGAGGAGGACCAACGAAUAAAGCUAUAACCAGAUCCGUCAGAUCCGGACUUCAAAUUCCCAUUGGAAAAAUUGGUCGUUACUUUAAGAAAGGUCUGGUUUGAAUGUGUAUUUGGACUCAUAAGCUCGACUUGGACUAUCUACGUUUUUUCGGUGUAGAUUCAAUUACAGGCAGCGAUGCAGGGCUGAAGUUUGCUUUGAAUUGUUUAAGAUAGUUGAAGGAUCCAGUGAGUGUGAGAAGGUAGUUUUUCUCAAAACAGUUUUCGCCAUUUUCUUAUCAAAUCAUAUUAGGACAUACUGCAGAUUAUUAUGUUUUCUUAUAAUCCUGCUGCUCAAUUAUAUCAUUCUGAUCAAUAUGUUUUCUAUGCUGCAAGUUCGCUCAAGACGUGUAGCUGAUUUAUAUGUUGAAUUGCAUGGUUUGAGGUAUUGAAAUUUGGUUAUUUCUAUGCUGCAAGUUCGCUCAAGACGUGUAGUUUCUUAUGACAUUUUCAUUUCGUUCUAACAAGCUUACCUUAACGCAAAGGAUUUGAAUCCAUCACUAUUGUCUUAAGAGCGUGUUCUUGAACCCUACUAACUCCCAAUUUCCCUGCUUCUCAGUCAGAAGAGGAUCAAAUAAAGUUCAAAAGUAAAAAAUGUGUUGAUUAUGGUUGUUUUGAUUCUGCUGGUGGUGGUUGGUGUUCGGCACAUUUUCGGAACUCUUUAAAGAAAGAAGACGACUUUUUGAAGGAACAACACACACAAGCUAUUUCAAGUAUGUCCACCAAGUGUUGACGAAAUUAUGUAGGGAUUAUGAAAUAUGGAGGAUGAAUAUUGUUGAGAAAUGUAAUUAUUAUGUGUCCUUGCUUUUGGAAUAAAUUGCAAUUCAUUGAUUUGUGAAAAUUGGUUCUUGAAGAAACGAAUCAAAAGAUAGCCGAAAAGGAUAUAUAGAUGAGUCUGCAAUUCAUGUAA